CUAAGCACAUUCACAAUGUCGCACAACUGUCGCCACCAUCCAUCUCCAGAACGUUUUCAUCUUCCCAAACAGAAACUCUGUGCCUGCUCCCCAUCCCCCCGCCCCCUCUGGUAACCGCCAUCCUACUUUGUCUCUACGAAUUUGCCUCAUAUAAGUGGAAUUAAACAUCUGUCCUUUUGUGUCUGGCUUAUUUCACUUAGCAUAAUCGGAUGACCUCUUUUAACAGAUGAGUAAACUGAGGCACAGAGAGACUACGGGGCUUGCCCAGGCUGCGUGCCCUCUCUCACAUCCUUUCUGCCUCCUCUCUCCUGUUCCCCACUUCCCUGUGAGUGUCCCCGUUCGCCUGUCAUGCCCCCAUUUCACCGAGGAAGAGAGAGAGGAGGCAGGAGCCCGAGGUCCUGAGGGGCUGAAGGACUCUGAGCGUGGUGCUCAUACACUCGGGACCACCCUGCUCUGCCGGGAGUGGGGGCUGGGCCAGUCCCAGGGCUUGAUGGGGAACAGGCCAGGGACCGCCACGCCCCUUGCAGGCCCAGUGACUCUUUUCCAAGGCUGACCUGGUGACCAGACCCUGUGGGUUGCCUCAGGCUGCGCUGACAUCACCCCUUCCCGGGGCUCUCCGGGUCAGAGAGGGGACAGGCUGGCAGUUAGCAACAUGGCCCGAGGGGCCGCCCAGGGCAGAGAAGAGCCUGAUCCGCCUCCGGGUGACCCACACAGCCCCGUCCCCCUCCCUGGCCUCCCAGGCUCCGAGUGUGCGUGCUUGGAGAGGGCCAAGGUGCCUGGGAAGCUUUUAGGAAUGGGGAAAAACAUUUAUUGCCUCCCUGCGUGAGCUCGGGGACAUAAGCAAGUCAGGUGGCAAGAUUUCCUCCGGGCGCCACUCAUUUUCUUCAUCUAACUCUUAAAGCGUUUUGGGAUCCAGGGCAGUCCAUGUGUCCACCUGCAAACCCUGCUAACCACUGAGCUUUCUAUAGAUUCAUUCAUUCAUUCAUUUGUUCAGCAAGGAUUGACUGAGAAUGGCUGUGCGCAGGACAAAGGGGCCCCAGUCGCCUGGAGUCCCUGAGCUUGCCGUCAGACAGCCAAGCCCAACAUGCAUCAAAGACUCAGAUGGUGAGCAACCUCAGGCAGCGCCCAGGGCUCUGAGGGAGGAGUCAGGGCCUCGUGGGGACCAUGAAGCAAGCGGAUUAAGACUGGGAGAUGGAGGGCGGCUUCCCUGAGAGGCUGCUGAGCUGAGGGGUACGGACCAGCCAGGCAGAGAACUCCAGGAAGAGCGUCCCCGGCAGAGGAAACAGCACGUGAAAUGGCCCAGAGGCGCGAAAGAACUCGGGUGUCUGCGGAGAGACAAGCCAACAUCUGCAUCGGAAAGCAAAUAGACGCACACGUUUCCCUCCGUUUAACCCAUUAAAGGCCGGCAUUCCAUCA